rnacentral:rRNA from 2 species
AUUUAGAGGAAGGAGAAGUCGUAACAAGGUUUCCGUAGGUGAACCUGCGGAAGGAUCAUUGUCGAACCUGCACGGCAGAACGACCAGAGAAUCGGUUUCAACGUCGGGGGUCGGCGGGCCGUCGCGCUCGGCGUCCCCUUAUCCCGGAAGCCUGCUUCCGGGCGUACAAACGAACACCGGCGCGUACUGCGCCAAGGAACUCGAACGAAAGAGCGCGCUCCCGUCGCCCCGGAAACGGUGCGCGCGCGGGUGCUUCGUCGUCUUCAGUACGUCAAAACGACUCUCGGCAACGGAUAUCUCGGCUCUCGCAUCGAUGAAGAACGUAGCGAAAUGCGAUACUUGGUGUGAAUUGCAGAAUCCCGUGAACCAUCGAGUYUUUGAACGCAAGUUGCGCCCGAAGCCGUCAGGCCGAGGGCACGCCUGCCUGGGCGUCACACGCCGUUGCCUUCCCCGCGCCUCCCUCGGGAGCGUCGGGGAGGGCGGACGAUGGCCUCCCGUGCCUCACCCCGCGCGGUUGGCCCAAAUGCCGAGUCCUCGGCGACGAACGCCACGACAGUCGGUGGUUGUCAAACCUCGGUUGCCUGUUGUGCGCGUUCGUCGCGCUCCGAGCGGCUCGCGACGAUCGUCGCUCUGCAUCGACGGAGCUUUCAACGCGACCCCAGGUCAGGCGGGGUCACCCGCUGAAUUUA